rnacentral:rRNA from 1 species
UACGGAGGGUGCGAGCGUUGUCCGGAAUCACUGGGCGUAAAGGGCGCGUAGGCGGCCUGAUAAGUAGGGGGUGAAAUCUUGCGGCUUAACCGCAAGGCUGCCUUCUAAACUGUCGGGCUAGAGCACAGUAGAGGCAGGUGGAAUUCCCGGUGUAGCGGUGGAAUGCGUAGAGAUCGGGAAGAACAUCAGUGGCGAAGGCGGCCU